GCACGCGUGGCUCAGUCGGUAGAGCAGCUGUCUAGGAAUCUGAGAGCCCAAGUUCGAAUCCUGAAUGCGUCUU